rnacentral:rRNA from 1 species
AUAUCGAACGUGCCUAGUAAUGGGAAGUAACUAGCUGAAAGGUUAGCUAAUGCCGCAUACGACCUACGGUGAAAGCAGGGAGUCUUCGGACCUUGCGUUAUUAGAGCGGCCGAUAUCUGAUUAGCUUGUUGGUGGGGUAAUGGCCUACCAAGGCGACGAUCAGUAGCUGGUCUGAGAGGACGAUCAGCCACACUGGAACUGAGACACGGUCCAGACUCCUACGGGAGGCAGCAGUGGGGAAUUUUGGACAAUGGGGGCAACCCUGAUGCAGCCAUGCCGCGUGUGUGAAGAAGGCUCUAG